UACGGAGGGUGCAAGCGUUAUCCGGAUUCACUGGGUUUAAAGGGUGCGUAGGUGGGCAGGUAAGUCAGUGGUGAAAUCUCCGAGCUUAACUCGGAAACUGCCAUUGAUACUAUCAGUCUUGAAUAUUGUGGAGGUUAGCGGAAUAUGUCAUGUAGCGGUGAAAUGCUUAGAUAUGACAUAGAACACCAAUUGCGAAGGCAGCUGGCUACGCAUAUAUUGACACUGAGGCACGAAAGCGUGGGGAUCAAACAGG
rnacentral:rRNA from 1 species